GCAAAAAUCCUAACCCAAAUAAUUUGUAUUAUUUAACUUUUUUGCCCCUCCCCACUAAAACAUUUUACAGUUAUAGUAAAGGCGAUCGAAACAUCUUUUUGGAGUUACAUUUCUAGUACCGCAAGGGAAUAAUGAAAUAAAAAUGAAACAACUAUCAAGCACCAAAUAGUAGAGACCUCCCCUCGUACCUUUUGCAUCAUGGUUUAACUAGUCUAACCAAGCAAAAAGCACUAAAGUUUGCCCCCCCGAAACUAAACGAGCUACUUCAAGGCAGCUUCAAGAGCCAACCCGUCUCUGUUGCAAAAGAGUGGGAAGACCUUCAAGUAGGGGUGAUAGACCUAACGAGUUUAGUGAUAGCUGGUUACUUAAGAAAAGGACCUUAGUCCAACCCAAUUUUUUUAUAAUAUAUCAAGAUGAAAAUUAAAAUUUGGAGUAAUUCAAACAAGGUACAGCCUGUUUGAACUAGGACACAACCUCCGCAAACGGGUAAUUAAAUUUUUACGUAAUAAAGUAGGCCUAAAAGCAGCCACCUUCAAAAAGCGUCAAAGCCUAUUUACAAAUCAAUUGAAUCCCCCUAAUAACUAAAAACCCUUAAUCUGUAUUAAGUAAUUCUAUAAAAUUAUAGAACCUAUUAUGUUAAAACUAGUAACAAGAAUCAGAACUUCUCCUAAAUGUAAAUGUAAAUCAGACUGGACAAACCACUGAUUUUUAACACCUUGAAACUAAAGUAACAACUAAUCAAGAAAAUUUUACCUCAAAUAGUGUUAACCUGACACCAGAACAUUUCUAGAUAGAUUAAAAGGAAAAGAAGGAACUCGGCAAAUAUUAACCUCGCCUGUUUACCAAAAACAUCGCCUCUUGGUACAUAUAAGAGGUCCAGCCUGCCCAGUGACUCUGUUCAACGGCCGCGGUAUCCUAACCGUGCGAAGGUAGCGUAAUCACUUGUUCUUUAAAUAAGGACUAGUAUGAAUGGCAUUACGAAGGUUAUACUGUCUCCUUUUCCCAAUCAGUGAAACUAAUCUUCCCGUGAAGAAGCGGGAAUAAAUAUAUAAGACGAGAAGACCCUAUGGAGCUUAAAACUUCCAACAAUUAUCUUUUUUAUAUCAACCUAUAGGCUAUAAAAUCAACUUUUAUAAUAUGUCUGUUGUUUUCGGUUGGGGUGACCGCGGAGUAAAAUUUAUCCUCCGCAAUGAAUUAAAUACUUUAAGCAAAAAACUACAAUUUUAUGCAUCAAAAAAUUGACAUUAUUGACCCAAUAUUUUGAUCAACGAACCAAGUUACCCUAGGGAUAACAGCGCAAUCCCCCUCAAGAGCUCAUAUCGACAGGCGGGUUUACGACCUCGAUGUUGGAUCAGGAUAUCCCAGUGGUGCAGCCGCUACUAAAGGUUCGUUUGUUCAACGAUUAAAAUCCU
rnacentral:rRNA from 1 species